GAUUUGUGCUCCCCCAGGCAGAAGUGAGUCAUAUUUUUUUUUCCAUUUGUGAAGGCUCAUAGGUAUGGAACAGAGGUGACAGGAGAAUCUACAUGACCUGUCUGAGAGGAAACACCCAGACAGGUCAAAGAAAUCUCAAAAAUUAAGCUGAAGGAGAUAUGCUGAGAGGUUUAGACUAAGGGUGAGUCGGCAAAGGUGUAUUCAAAUAUAUCUAUGUUUUGGUAAAAUGUCUUUGUUUAUAUGUACUUUAUGAAUGUUCAGUGCAGGACAGCUCUUCUAUGGGAACACAAAGAUGAUCCAGUCCCCCACAGAAGCCAGAUCACUGGCUGGCUGAUGACAUAAGUGACAAUUCAAACAAAGUAUUACCAAACCACAAUGUGUUUUUUUCCCUAUUACUGAUUUUUUGUGUGUGUGUUUGUUUUUGUAAUAAAGGUAAUUGAUGCAUACAUUCAUAUCCUUGCUGAAAAACAGCAGGCAAAUGCUGGAUGUAAAACUAUAUUGUUCUCAAUGCAUGUGUACUUAAUACACUAUACACUCAGUACACACGAACUAACACACACUUAAUGUUUUUUAACAGGAAUCCAUUCAUCAGCUCUGUGCUGUGGUAGCUGGAAGUUUGUUUUCCAGAAGAUUUCGGCCUCUUAGAAAAGCAAUCUUUUUGUUUGUUUUUAUCUAGCCAUAUCACCUAACACCAGUAACCUGAAUUAACAAUAAUUUGAUAUGAAACCCAUUCUUCAGAUGAAAUUUCCAGUGUUAAAAAGAUGGAUUUGUCCUGUAAAUGUAGGUGCUCACUGGAUUUUAGUGGUUUUCUUCUAUUUUCCUCAGACCUAUUUCUGAUAUAUAUAUGCAUUUCAGUUGACCUGAUGCAACAGAAGUAAAUUUUCAUAAAAGGCUUUGCUACACAAAUAUGUCAUAGUGUGAUGGAAUAACAAAUACAGUCAUCAUUUAUAGAUUGUCACCAUGUCACAGAGGACACUGCUACUUGUUGAUCCAGACAAGUAUAUUCUGUAUUUCGUAUGCUUGUUAUGCUUUUUAAACAAUAAUUAGGAAUUUCUUGAGGAUGGUGGGCCAUGAAGUCCAAGGAGAUAAAUGGACUUUAAAAACUGUUCACCACAACAAGCAGCAAGAUGCCAGUAGCUGUGGGAUUUAGGUGUUAAAGUUUGCAGAAGGGUUUCUCAACAAUGGAGACAUCGCAAGCAUCCAGACACAUCCUGCAGAGGUUUUAAAGGCUCAAUGGGAAGCAGCAUGUGCCCUCCUACAGGUGGGAGGUCUGUGGAAAGAAACAUGAAGCCACCACGGAUGGGAUAAAUACGGACACCGAAUUUCCCUCACAAGAUCAAAAUAGUGAAUAUAGUGUAUAUAUCAAAUAAAGUUGACUUGAUUUGA